UGGGAGGUAAAUUUCUCCUAAGGCUAAAUAUCGGCGAGAGACCGAUAGCGAACAAGUACCGUGAGGGAAAGAUGAAAAGAACUUUGAAAAGAGAGUAAAAUAGUACGUGAAAUUGUUGAAAGGGAAACGAUUGAAGUCAGUCGUACCGACGAGAAAUCAACUUAUCGUGUGCGAACUUGUGGGCGUGCGGGAGUUUCGGCCUCGCUGUUUGCAUGUUUGUACGUUUUGGGUGUACUUUUUCGUAUGGUAGGCCAACAUCAGUUUCGAUUACUAUAAAAUGACCGGCGGAAUGUAGCUUCGAUUUCGGUUGAAGUGUUAUAGCCUCUGGUAGAUGUGGUGAUUGGGACUGAGGAUUGCAACGAAUAUCCUUUGGGCUAUCCGUCUGAUCUCUGAAAGUUGCUCAGGUGCCGAAAGCGUGCUUACGGUCAUCUAAGUUGACGGUCAACAGGUUAGAACGUGAUUACAUUCGUUAAGGAUGUUGGCGUAAUGGCUUUAAACGACCCGUCUUGAAACACGGACCAAGGAGUCUAACAUAUAUGCGAGUGUUCGGGUGUUCAAACCCCUACGCGUAAUGAAAGUAAUUUUGGUGGGAUCACUUUUUGUGUGCACCAUCGACC
rnacentral:rRNA from 1 species